AGUUUUUUGCAGUGGCAGUAUUGCAGCCAAUGAGGUUUAUCUGAGGGGUGAUUAUUGCUCUUUGAAAAUUGAAAAAAAAAAAAAGACAUGACAUUUGAAUACAUUCUUUUUUUUUUUUUUUCUUUUUUGAGG
rnacentral:snRNA from 1 species